UGGAUCGAGUAACCUCUUCCUUUAUCCAAGAAAAAAACAUUUUUUGUUUGCAUGGUCCAAUCAUUGAUCCUGAAAAUUUCUACAAUAAGAUUAGGUAGGUUACUGGCACAGUUCGAUAUCCAUGAUUCCGCUAUUUUAUUUUCCUAGAAUAUAGGAAGAAUACGAGUAGAACGAAAAAUAAUACGUUCCAUUUUGAAUGUUUAGCUUUUAUAUACAAAAAAA
rnacentral:lncRNA from 1 species